AUACGGAGGGUGCGAGCGUUAUCCGGAUUUAUUAGGUUUAAAGGGUGUGUAGGCGGGAGCCUAAGUUAGUGGUGAAAUCUCACAGCUUAACUGUGAAACUGCCAUUGAAACUGGGUUUCUUGAGUAUAGUUGAGGUAGGCGGAAUGUGUAAUGUAGCGGUGAAAUGCAUAGAUAUUACACAGAACACCGAUUGCGAAGGCAGCUUACUAAGCUAUUACUGACGCUGAUGCACGAAAGCGUGGGUAGCGAACAGGAUUAGAAACCCCAGUAGUCC
rnacentral:rRNA from 1 species